rnacentral:rRNA from 1 species
AGUGAACGCUGGCGGUAGGCCUAACACAUGCAAGUCGAACGGCAGCACAGUAAGAACUUGCUCUUACGGGUGGCGAGUGGCGGACGGGUGAGGAAUACAUCGGAAUCUACUUUUUCGUGGGGGAUAACGUAGGGAAACUUACGCUAAUAACGCAUACGACCUACGGGUGAAAGCAGGGGAUCUUCGGACCUUGCGCGAUUGAAUGAGCCGAUGUCGGAUUAGCUAGUUGGCGGGGUAAAGGCCCACCAAGGCGACGAUCCGUAGCUGGUCUGAGAGGAUGAUCAGCCACACUGGAACUGAGACACGGUCCAGACUCCUACGGGAGGCAGCAGUGGGGAAUAUUGGACAAUGGGCGCAAGCCUGAUCCAGCCAUACCGCGUGGGUGAAGAAGGCCUUCGGGUUGUAAAGCCCUUUUGUUGGGAAAGAAAAGCAGCAGGUUAAUACCCCGCUGUUCUGACGGUACCCAAAGAAUAAGCACCGGCUAACUUCGUG